rnacentral:rRNA from 1 species
AUUGAACGCUGGCGGCAUGCUUUACACAUGCAAGUCGAACGGCAGCGCGGGCUUCGGCCUGGCGGCGAGUGGCGAACGGGUGAGUAAUGCAUCGGAACGUGCCCAGUAGUGGGGGAUAGCCCGGCGAAAGCCGGAUUAAUACCGCAUACGACCUGAGGGUGAAAGCGGGGGACCGAAAGGCCUCGCGCUAUUGUGGCGGCCGAUGUCGGAUUAGCUAGGUGGUGGGGUAAAGGCUUACCAAGGCGACGAUCCGUAGCUGGUCUGAGAGGACGACCAGCCAGAUUGGGACUGAGGAUGGGCCCCGACUCCGAGGGGGAGACACAGUGGGGAAUUUUGGGGGAAGGGGGCAACCCUGAUCCAGCCAUGCCGCGUGAGGGAAGAAGGCCUUCGGGUUGUAAACCGCUUUUGUUCGGGAAGAAAUACUCUGGGCUAAUACCCCGGGGGGAUGACGGUACCGGAAGAAUAAGCACCGGCUAACUACGUG